rnacentral:rRNA from 1 species
GUACGGGAGGCAGCAGUGGGGAAUCUUGCACAAUGGGGGGAACCCUGAUGCAGCGACGCCGCGUGAGCGAUGAAGCCCUUCGGGGUGUAAAGCUCUUUCGGCAGGGACGAUAAUGACGGUACCUGAAGAAGAAGCUGCGGCUAACUACGUGCCAGCAGCCGCGGUAAUACGUAGGCAGCGAGCGUUGUUCGGAGUUACUGGGCGUAAAGGGUGCGUAGGCGGUGGUCCAAGUCUGGUGUGAAAUCUCCCGGCUCAACUGGGAGGGUGCUCCGGAAACUGGGCCGCUGGAGUGCGGGAGAGGCAAGCGGAAUUCCAGGUGUAGCGGUGAAAUGCGUAGAUAUCUGGAGGAACACCCGUGGUGCAGACGGCUUGCUAGACCGUGACUGACGCUGAGGCACGAAAGCGUGGGUAGCAAACAGGAUUAGAUACCCCGGU